UACAGAGGGGGCAAGCGUUGUUCGGAAUUACUGGGCGUAAAGGGCGCGUAGGCGGCCUGCUAAGUCGAACGUGAAAUCCCCAGGCUUAACCUGGGAACGGCAUCCGAUACUGGAGGGCUUGAAUUCGGGAGAGGGAUGCAGAAUUCCAGGUGUAGCGGUGAAAUGCGUAGAUAUCUGGAGGAAUACCGGUGGCGAAGGCGGCAUCCUGGACCGAGAUUGACGCUGAGGAGCGAAAGCUAGGGGAGCAAACGGG
rnacentral:rRNA from 1 species